rnacentral:rRNA from 1 species
UGUAGGUGCUGCAUGGUUGUCGUCAGCUCGUGCCGUGAGGUGUCGGCUUAAGUGCCAUAACGAGACGCAACCCUUAUCGUUAGUUGCCAGCGGGUUAAGCCGGGGAACUCUAGCGAGACUGCCACCGUAAGGUGUGAGGAAGGUGGGGAUGACGUCAAAUCAGCACGGCCCUUACGUCCGGGGCGACACACGUGUUACAAUGGGGGGGUACAGAGGGUUGCUACACAGCGAUGUGAUGCUAAUCUCUAUAAAGCCUCUCUCAGUUCGGAUCGGAGUCUGCAACUCGACUCCGUGAAGCUGGAUUCGCUAGUAAUCGCGCAUCAGCCAUGGCGCGGUGAAUACGUUCCCGGGCCUU